GAACGGGUGAGUAAUACAUCGGAACGUGCCCGAGAGUGGGGGAUAACGAAGCGAAAGCUUUGCUAAUACCGCAUACGAUCUCAGGAUGAAAGCAGGGGACCGCAAGGCCUUGCGCUCACGGAGCGGCCGAUGGCAGAUUAGGUAGUUGGUGGGAUAAAAGCUUACCAAGCCGACGAUCUGUAGCUGGUCUGAGAGGACGACCAGCCACACUGGGACUGAGACACGGCCCAGACUCCUACGGGAGGCAGCAGUGGGGAAUUUUGGACAAUGGGCGCAAGCCUGAUCCAGCCAUGCCGCGUGCAGGAUGAAGGCCUUCGGGUUGUAAACUGCUUUUGUACGGAACGAAAAGACUCUGGUUAAUACCUGGGGUCCAUGACGGUACCGUAAGAAUAAGCACCGGCUAACUACGUGCCAGCAGCCGCGGUAAUACGUAGGGUGCGAGCGUUAAUCGGAAUUACUGGGCGUAAAGCGUGCGCAGGCGGUUAUGUAAGACAGAUGUGAAAUCCCCGGGCUCAACCUGGGAACUGCAUUUGUGACUGCGUAGCUAGAGUACGGCAGAGGGGGAUGGAAUUCCGCGUGUAGCAGUGAAAUGCGUAGAUAUGCGGAGGACACCGAUGGCGAAGGCAAUCCCCUGGGCCUGUACUGACGCUCAUGCACGAA
rnacentral:rRNA from 1 species